CAAUAAUAGCCUAUUGACUUGAAGGAAUAUCUGUUUUUUGACACUAGGGGGUGUGUUGAGUUUGUCGUUAUAUUUAUGUGAACAGCAUGACAAACGUCCACCGUAUGUUGUGUUCAACACCGUUCCUUUUCACCCCAAUGGUAAGACCAUGAAAUACUGAAUGAAAUUCACCCCCGUAUACUUGUAAUAUGACUGAAAAGUGACACAAAGCUCCGCUUUCCUCCCAUUUCCCCAAUGUUUCAAGUGGAUAAAGACACAGGGGAGGUAUGCAUAUCUUUCCCUCACUCUCGAAAUGAAUGGGAUCUCAAUACCUCCGCAGUCAGCAUCCUUCGCUUCAUACAGCACGUACUUUCCCACCCCGAUUUGGAGGACCCCGUCAAUUUGGAAGCUGCUGAAAUGUUUUUGAAUCGGCCGAAUGCCUACAGGGAGGUGGUUGAGCAAUGUGUGAAAACCAGUCAAGCACUAGAAAGAGAAGAUAUGGGUGUAACUGAGGCUAACCCUGGGAAGCCUUUAAGGAGCGACAGGGUUGUCAGGAGGAUCUCUUUUGAGGAAUAUCUACAGGCUUGGACAGCAACAGCCACCACCAAAGCAGGACCUCUAAUGGCAAAUGAAUCACUGGACAAACUGGUCAGCUCUGCACAGAUGCUUGCCCACCGCUGCGGAUCACCGACCCAUGUAGUGGUUCCUUUUUCUGAAGCAUCUCUUAAAACGCAAGUUUAACUUCUCUCUACUGCUACUGUUGAACAUUUAAAAGGCUUUGAUAUCCACUAUAAUGAUGCAAUGAGAUAUUCGUGCUUUCAAUGCAUUUGUUUUACAUUGUAUUACUGUUUCUGGCCUGGAUGAAUGACAAAAAUGUUCAUCAAAAACCACAUAACAGAUUCAUUAAACAUUUAGAAAUGUUUUCAAAUACGAGUUGAGGAUUUAACAUGUUGAGCUUGGAUUAUACUGUACUUACUGAAACAAAGGCGUGUCCAUUGCAGUCACAGAAUAAAUACUCUGCGUUUUUGUGCAGAAUCAGAGAUGGACUAGCACAAACGCACCAGAGGGAAAAAAGACAGAAAGAGGUCAAACUCGUGCGGAUUCAACAAAUGAGGAAGUUAUACCAACGUUACAGCAAAGCAGAGCCCCAGCAGGAGUGUCCCGCUGCACCCCAAGCAACAGCGCCGUGUCCAGGCCGGCGUGUGCACUGGGAGACUGAGGUGGACAGCCUGGUGGCAUGGACACACACCCUGUCUUUGGAGGAGCUGGAAGACGAUCACUAACCAAAAGCAAUGAUGCCUCCACGCGCAUGAAUGUUGUUGUAAUGAAGUUCACACUUAAGGCUCUGGCUGUUUCCAUUGGAGGCGUUGCGUACUGCAAGUCACCUGGAUUAGACAGGCCACUCUAUGACUUUGCUUAAAGCUAAUAAAAAACAUUAAUCACAUAAUUCAAACAGAGAAGAGUUCAAUUUAUGUCUUAUUACAGAAUUAUGAUACAAUUAUUAUUACAAAAAAAAAAACAGUGGAAUGUC